GUUCACUUUCUCUUACUUGGUCUUCAUAGAAAGAACAGCUUCACCCUUAGAAAUAACCUUUGAUGACUGGAUAAUGGGACAAAGCAGGGGGAUGUGUAUACAUCUCCUCCAGUUACGUUUCAAGCAUCGACAGAAGUGAGUGUGUCUAUGUAACCAUCCGGCCUCAAAAGCAGCCGUGGUCAGAGAUAUGAGAAGUCGCCCAAAAGCCUGUGUGUGAGACAAUGCGAGAAAGUUGAAAGAUGCAAUGACUGGAUUAUAAAAGGUAAGACCUAAUCAGUGCACUAAUCCCCUGAUAGGGAUUACGUUGGAGGGAACUGUAGGCAGGUAGGGUAGGCUGGAGACGGUGGGUCCCUGUGGGUGUGCCUUAGAGUUUAUGUUUUGUCCUUGUUGAGCAGAGAUAGUGCAGGCACUUGCUUGCUGUCUGUCUGUCUGUCUGUCUGUCUCUCUCUCUCUCUCUCUCUCUCCCCCCCACCCCAACCCCCUUCCUGGAUGCCAUGUUCCCAGCUGUUUUCCUCAGUCACACACUUCUGCCUUGAUAUUCUGCCUUGCUUUGUGCCCCAAGGAAUGGAACCAGUUGUUUAUGGAUUGAGACUUCUGAAACUGUGAGCCCCAAAAUAAACUUUUCCUCAUCUAAAAUUGUUCUUGUGAGGUCUUUUGGUCACAGCAGGAAAAAAAAAAUCUGAUUAAAACACACUCACCCCAGAUAGCUGAGUAAAUGAAUUCCUUGAGUCCUGAGGAAAAUCUAUUACCAAAUAUUUACUUUUGUUUGUGCUUAGUAGGUAUUGAGUUGUUUGCCUUAAUCGUAUCGACUAAGAAAACCAAAUGUUUCUGAGCAUCCGUCCUAGGCAGUUCUAGCAAGCUCUGGAAUCCCCACUGAGGAGGAGCGAGUCUGCAGGCUGCCUCUUGAGUCACGCAAUCUAACACAAGCCACACACAGCUAUUAAGCACUGAAACGUGGCCAGUCCCACUGACCCUUGUGCAAUCGAGGUGAUGCCUCAUGAAUUUGGCUGACCUUCAUAUUCAACAGCUGUGCCAGGCAGCUUUGCAGCUGUCUCCCAUCUCCAGUGGCUUUUGCACCUGCAGACUGGCUGGCUUGAGAUCCUGUUUUCUGCCUGCCUUGGCAGCGGGCUGGAAGUGAGAGCUGUUGCCUACGGUUUUCUCUGAGCCUCCUGUCUCUGGUGACAGGGCCAGAAGAUACCUAAGGGGCUUGUCAACAGCUAAGACUGUCUCUUUCUGCUCAUAGCUCUGGGAAUUGUCUUGGCUAGGCCUAGCUGAAGAUCUGCCUUCGGGAGUGAAGGUUGACCUUUUAUAAAUACUGACCUACAAGAAAGAUAGAGAAAAGUGGUCCCACUCUAACUUCCCGACCUUAAUGGAUCAAUAAUAUCUGGACAGGAGAGCUAGAAUAAUCAUACAAAAGGUAACAGUGAGCACGUACUGCAGACUAGAAACUGCUAAGGACUAUAUGUGGAUUUCUAACUUAAUCUUUAAAACAAACCUAUAUAAUAGGUAUUACUAUCAUUUCCAUUUUAUUGAUAUGGAAGUGGAGGUUUAGAGGAAUAUUAUAACUUCCCCACAGAUUCAUAGCUAUUUAAGUGACAGAAGUAGGAUUUAGAGAUAAUGUAGAUUUGCUUGAUUCUAGAGUUUAUAUAUAGGCCUACUUUACUAUCAAGAUUCUAUCCCCCCUCAGAAUGGUUUUUUGGAAAUCAUUAUGCUUGACUUGAUCAUUUCUUCUGCCUGAGAUGCCUAAAAUACCUAAACAGUUGUGCAUUACUUCAA